rnacentral:rRNA from 1 species
GUAGGUGGCGAGCGUUGUCCGGAAUUAUUGGGCGUAAAGCGCGCGCAGGCGGUUCUUUAAGUCUGAUGUGAAAGCCCACGGGCUCAACCGUGGAGGGUCAUUGGAAACUGGAGAACUUGAGUACAGAAGAGGAAAGCGGAAUUCCACGUGUAGCGGUGAAAUGCGUAGAGAUGUGGAGGAACACCAGUGGCGAAGGCGGCUUUCUGGUCUGUAACUGACGCUGAGGCGCGAAAGCGUGGGGAGCAAACAGGAUUAGAUACCCUGGUAGUCCACGCCGUAAACGAUGAGUGCUAAGUGUUAGGGGGUUUCCGCCCCUUAGUGCUGCAGCUAACGCAUUAAGCACUCCGCCUGGGGAGUACGGCCGCAAGGCUG